GCCAGCUACCUUGUGUCUCUCCCUCUCCCUCUCUCCCUCUCCCUCCCUCUCUCUCUCUCCCUCCCUCUCUCUCCCUCUCUUAGUCAGUUCAUCCGCGGGUUUAGCAGCGAAAGGAGCCAUUCCUCUCGUGAUGGUGAAGAAAGAAGUGGAGAAAUAAGCGAUUUUGAUAAUGAUGAUGAUGAGUGUGAAUUAAUAUGAUGGUGAAAUAAUAUUAUGUUUGCAUAUUAUAUAAACUUGAAGGAAGGAAAGAAACAAAUAAAAUAAAUAAUAAUAGUGAAGUUUUGAUAUGAUGAUGAUGAUGAUGAUGAAAUAAAGAUAAACAAACAGGAGUGAAGGAAUACAUGAAUGGUGUAGAUAGAUGAAGGUGACAAUGAUAACGGUAGUGAUAGUGAAGGUGACGAUGUAGCAAGAUAGUGUGCGUUAUGAUAAGAUAGUGAGGAAAAAAAAAUCACCAAUGCAUACCACAGUGACAAUAUAAUGAUGAUGAUGAUGAUGAUGAUGGUGAUAAAAAUAAGAUAAAAGUUGCCUCAUAAAUAUACAUCGUCGUGACAGUGUAAGAUAAUGAUGUUGAUGGUGAAGAUGAUGGUGAUGGUGUUGAGAAGAGAAGAUUGAUGGUGAAGAAUAGGAGAACCAAUAAAUAAUAAGAAGAUAGAGAAGAAGAAGAAGAAGAAGAAGAAGAAGAAGGAUAAAAGAGAAGAAAUAGAUAAUUUAAAUAAAGAAGGUGUCAAACUAAUUAAGGAGGAAAGGUGAGUGUUAAUUGACCUAGUUAAUUACCU